GAUGAACGCUGGCGGCGUGCUUAACACAUGCAAGUCGAACGAAGCACCUUGAUUUGAUUCUUCGGAUGAAGAUCUUGGUGACUGAGUGGCGGACGGGUGAGUAACGCGUGGGUAACCUGCCUCAUACAGGGGGAUAACAGUUAGAAAUGACUGCUAAUACCGCAUAAGACCACAGCACCGCAUGGUGCAGGGGUAAAAACUCCGGUGGUAUGAGAUGGACCCGCGUCUGAUUAGGUAGUUGGUGGGGUAACGGCCUACCAAGCCGACGAUCAGUUGCCCAACUGGGAGGGUGACCGGCCACCAUUGGACUGAGAAACGGCCCAAACCCCUACGGGGGGCAGCAGUGGGGAAUAUUGCACAAUUGGGGAAACCCUGAUGCAGCGACGCCGCGUGAGCGAUGAAGUAUUUCGGUAUGUAAAGCUCUAUCAGCAGGGAAGAAAAUGACGGUACCUGACUAAGAAGCACCGGCUAAAUACGUGCCAGCCGCCGCAGUAA
rnacentral:rRNA from 1 species